AUUGAACGCUGGCGGCAUGCUUUACACAUGCAAGUCGAACGGUAACAGGUUAAGCUGACGAGUGGCGAACGGGUGAGUAAUGCAUCGGAACGUGCCCGAUCGUGGGGGAUAACGCAGCGAAAGCUGCGCUAAUACCGCAUACGAUCCGAGGAUGAAAGCGGGGGACCGUAAGGCCUCGCGCGAUCGGAGCGGCCGAUGUCAGAUUAGGUAGUUGGUGGGGUAAAGGCUCACCAAGCCGACGAUCUGUAGCUGGUCUGAGAGGACGACCAGCCACACUGGGACUGAGAAACGGCCCAGACUCCUACGGGAGGCAGCGGUGGGGAAUUUUGGACAAUGGGCGAAAGCCUGAUCCAGCAAUGCCGCGUGCAGGAAGAAGGCCUUCGGGUUGUAAACUGCUUUUGUACGGAGCGAAAAGGCUCUCUCUAAUACAGGGGGCUCAUGACGGUACCGUAAGAAUAAGCACCGGCUAACUACGUGCCAGCCGCCGCCGUAAGAC
rnacentral:rRNA from 1 species